GUUGUUUUCCUCUUUAGAACUAAACGAAUUUCAUAUUAUGACAAUUUAAUUUUUAUUUAAAAUAAUUUGAUUUCAUUAGUUUUAUAACCCUCUGGUGUGUGAGCACUGGUUGUAGGUGAUAUUAAAACAUUAAAAGUAUUUAUGUUGAGUUAUAUUCUUUAUGUAGUCAUUAAAAUGUAAACAACAAAAUCUAAACAAACUUAUUACAAGAUAUCAAUUGUAAAUGGAAUUAUAAUGACUGACGGGCGGGAUACUGUUUGAAUUUUAUGUGUUCAACAAGGAACCCUAAUACUCUAAUUAUGAAAUAAUGUCAAUUCACGUAUAUGUUUAACUAACAACACAGUUUUGAACUUAAAGUACAGUCACCUGCAACGACAUGUGUAAAAUUUUUACGUUUACAUUAAAAACAUAACCUGACCUAAUACUAACGCAAAUGUUCUUCAAAAGUUUAAGAAAGCAAGUUAUAAAGCAACUAAAACAGAAACCGUAAUCUCCACGUUACUACAGUUUGCAAUCAAAAAUAGGUUAACGAUCAAAAGUUAGGUGUUAAUAUUAGCUUAAGUGUUAUUUGUUUGCAAGAUUGUCAAAUACAAUUGACAUUCAAAGACGAGAUACCUACCUACAUUUUUUAUGUAUUAAGUAACUCUUAAAUGUUGUUAUUAAUAAAAUAUUAACGCUAACUGUACCUAAACUAACCUUUGAUCACACAUGCUUACCUUUGCUGUAAAUUGAAACUUUUGUUUUUCGUUAAAAUAUUGGUAAAAUUUUAUAUUUGCUGAUCAUAAGGAACAUUUUUAGACAGUGCUUGUAAACCUUUUUCGCAAUGUUAAUUUUCACAGUUUUGCAUUGAAGUUUAUCUAAAAGUUUUUAACUUUUACGACAAAAAUGUUUACGAUUUCUUUGUCUGAAUUUGCAAAAUUUUGGUAUAAAUCGAGACCCCGAGUUCAUUAAAAAGAAUUAAAUCAGUGUUAUUAUACCGUGUUCAUCAAGAACCUGCAAAAGUAUUGUGAUUGUGCUUCAACGAGAGGAUUCCCUGCAAAAAUCAUGUUCGUAAGUUUUUUACUGAUUCACUUUGAUUGUGUUUAUUGUGUGAGUGCUAAUUUAGUGUGUUAUGUUUAUUAAAUCAUCUUUAGGUCGGACAUUGAGUAUUACAACAAGGUUGAAGCCAAGCCUCGAGCUGCCCGCAAGCGGGAGGACUUGGAGGACGACGAGCGCCCCAUUCAGCGACCUCGGAAGGCGAGCAAGGCGGUGUUUUACGAUUCUGAGGACGAGCAUGCUAGCAAACGUACAAAGACACUAAAGAAGCCCCCACCGUCUAAGCGCAAGUCUGCUGCAGGCCUUGAAAAAGAUCUCUUCGAUUCGGAAGACGAACAAGUUCAUAAGCGAGUCGGCAAAGAGACGAAGAGACCUGCAGCGUUGAAGCGCAAACGAGCUCGGGCUGACGGUUGGGAGCUGGAGCUGGACGACGAGGA